rnacentral:rRNA from 1 species
AACGAACGCUGGCGGCAGGCUUAACACAUGCAAGUCGAACGGGUGUAGCAAUACAUCAGUGGCAGACGGGUGAGUAACACGUGGGAACCUUCCUAGGGGUACGGAACAACUCAGGGAAACUUGAGCUAAUACCGUAUACGUCCGUGAGGAGAAAGAUUUAUCGCCCUUAGACGGGCCCGCGUCGGAUUAGGUAGUUGGUGGGGUAACGGCCUACCAAGCCUACGAUCCGUAGCUGAUCUGAGAGGAUGAUCAGCCACACUGGGACUGAGACACGGCCCAGACUCCUACGGGAGGCAGCAGUGGGGAAUCUUGGACAAUGGGCGCAAGCCUGAUCCAGCCAUGCCGCGUGAGUGAAGAAGGCCUUAGGGUUGUAAAGCUCUUUUACCAGGGACGAUAAUGACGGUACCUGGAGAAUAAGCCCCGGCAAACUUCGUGCCAGCCGCCGCAGUAAGAC